CUGGUAGUCCCAGCCGUAAACGAUGGACACUAGUUGCCGGGAGAGUCAAUCCUUUCGGUGACGAAGCUAACGCAUUAAGUGUCCCGCCUGGGAAGUACGCCCGCAAGGGUGAAACUCAAAGGAAUUGACGGGGGCCCGCACAAGCGGUGGAGCAUGUGCUUUAAUUCGAUGCAACGCGAAGAACCUUACCUGGGUUUGACAUGGGGGUGAAAGUCUGUAGAGAUAUGGAUCUUUCCGCAAGGAACACCCCACACAGGUGCUGCAUGGUUGUCGUCAGCUCGUGUCGUGAGAUGUUAGGUUAAGUCCUGCAACGAGCGCAACCCUCGCCCUUAGUUGCCAUCAGGUGAUGCUGGGAACUCUAAGGGGACCGCCUGGUUUAACCAGGAGGAAGGUGGGGAUGACGUCAAAUCCUCAUGGCCCUUACGUCCAGGGCUAGACACGUGCUACAAUGGUAGAUACAGCGGGAUGCAAGCUGGUGACAGCAAGCCAAUCCCUUAAAAUCUAUCUCAGUCCGGAUUGAAGUCUGCAAUUCGACUUCAUGAA
rnacentral:rRNA from 1 species